UCUUGGUAGGUGAGUUGUCCCCAAGUACUAGAUCACAAGAAAAGCUUCUACAGACUUUCAUGACCUCUUGUACAUAUUCUCUAGCAAAAAAUCUUUGGAGUGGAAUUGUUGAGUUAGAUGGCUAAUUGUACACAUUUUACCUUGUAAGAAAUGCCAACAUAUUUUCUAUAGUGAUAGUACAUUUACAUUCCCACCAGCAAUAUCUGAGAGUUCUGGUUUUUGAACAUCUUCACCUAUGUUUGGUAUUGUUGGUUGUUAAACCUUUGCUUUGGUGAUCUCUUAAUUUGCAUCUCUUCCUGAUGACUAAUGAUACCAAAUACCUUUUGGUGUUCUUAUGAUCUGUUCUGAUGUCUUUGGAGAAGAGGCUGCUUUAAUUUCUUGUCUAUUUUUUAUUGGGUAAUCUUAAAUUGUAAAAUGUCUACACAUUUUGGAUAUAAGAGCUUACCAGAUAUAAUUCACAAAAAAAUCUACCAUUUUGUGGAUUGUCUGUGUUGGUAUAUUUUGAAGCUCAAUUU